UUAAGACUGGGAGAUGGUUAUUGGGAUAUAUCUAACUUUAUAAGGGCUUAAAUGUAGUUUAUCCAAACAGGAAAACCCCUUGCCUGCCCCCGAAGCACGCAAAACAUUGCAUUAAACCCUAAACCUCCAGCUGUAAAGAUUUAUGGAAUCGGUGGAAACUCGAUGAUUCCUGCCAAACACGAUGGCUUCAUUUUUUCGCUGAUUAUUAUCAUUAUUAUUAUUCUUUUAUGUUCUUUUAAUUUUGAAUUGUAAAAUUUGUUUUCGAUUCCAAAUGCGACGUUGCAGCUGGCUAGGACUAUGCCGGCGGCAUUUGCUAUCAUCCACCGCGGUUGAUCGUGGGGAUCGCCUUCGAAAAGUCUCGUCGUUUUCUGAUAGAUUUUUGAACAGUUGCGGCCAUUCUAUUAGCAAACCUCCUAAUUUCAGAACUACAGAAACUCAUUUGAUUAAACGGAGAUACAUUCAUGCCACAGGAAGUUGCAAUGCUAAGGAACGCAGUUUUUACGAAAUUCUUGGUGUUUCUGAAAAUGCUAGCAGAGAAGAUAUCAAAACGGCUUUUCAUUUGCUUGCAAAGAAGUACCAUCCGGAUGCAAAUAAAAAUAGUGCUAGUGCGAAAAGGAAAUUUCAAGAGAUUAGGGAAGCCUACGAGACGCUGCAAGAUUCUGAGAAGAGGGCACAAUAUGAUGCGAUGCGUACUGGAGGUUUCAAUUAUGGUGCUGAUAGUGCAGAGGGAUAUGGUGCUGAUGAUGCAGCGGGAUUUAGAUAUGGUGCUGGUGAUGCAGGGGGAUUUAGAUACACUUAUCGAACUAAUUUCUCUAAUUCAUUCCAUAAAAUAUUCUCUGAGAUCUUUGAAGAUGAGGCCAAUCAUUUUGCAUCUGAUAUUCAGGUUGACCUAGUUCUCUCCUUUUCUGAAUCUGCUAGAGGAUGCACAAAGCAUGUGACUUUUGAUGCAUAUGUUCCGUGUGAUUCUUGUGAUGGUCAUGGCUAUCCAGCAAAUGCCAAAGCAAGCAUUUGUCCUACUUGCAGAGGUGUGGGGAAAGUUACAAUUCCUCCAUUUACAUCAACUUGUAGCCAUUGUAGAGGUUUGGGCCGGAUAAUUAAGGAACACUGUAUGUUAUGUAGAGGAUCAGGGGUUGUUGAAGGCAUUAAGGAUGUUAAAGUUACAAUACCAGAAGGUGUGGGUUCUGGAGAUACGAUCCGUGUGCCAGAAGCUGGUAAUACAGGGGGACGGGGAAGUCGAUCUGGCAACUUAUUCAUUAAUCUUAAGGUUGCUGAUGAUCCUGUCUUUUCUAGAGAAGGUGCAGAUGUUUAUGUUGAUGCUAAUAUUAGUUUUACACAAGCAAUUCUUGGUGGUAAGGUUGAAGUACCAACAUUGUCAGGGAAGACACAAGUAAAUAUACCAAAGGGAGUUCAGCCAGGUCAACUUGUGGUACUAAGAGGCAAAGGUCUAUCAAAGCAUGGUUUUCUUGUAGAUCAUGGAGAUCAAUAUGUGCGGUUUUGCAUUAACUUCCCCAUUGCAAUUAAUGAGCGCCAACAUGCUAUUUUGGAAGAAUUUGCCAAGGAAGAGAUAAAAAAUGAAAAUGACACUUUCAAUGAAGGAAACUGGUGGCAGCAACUUCUUGAACGGGUGACGGAUCCUAGGUUUAUGCUAAAAUUUUCUAUGCUCAUGCUAAUCCUGCUGUUCCUUAACAAAACCAUGAUUUGAAAGCUGACUCACGGUGGCUGCUGGAGAUACAUGCACCAAUUAUGCUGUCAUCUGUUGUGGAGCUUUACUUUUAUAGAUAGAAGUAAUACCGUGAUAGGUUUGUAUGAAGUAGGGAUAAAGAUUCAGAUUACUUGCAAGCAGCGGAACAAAAAACGUACACUUUUUUUCCCCAUUCGAUGCAAAUGAUGUCGUUGUAGGUGUGGAAGAAUGAACAAAUACACUAUUUGAUGGGCAGGCAUGCUUCAUCAUGGAAGAGAUGGAUACUAUUGGAGCCUCUCUCUCUCUCUCACCCAUGCUGGUGGAUGACAUGAAGGGAUUGCUUUACCAAUAAUGGGGACACUACCUCACGGAGCUGGGCCUUGCUCAUGACUGCGGUGAUUUAAAUAUGCCAGAAUGAUAUACAUACCUUCUUUUUUUUUUUAAAGUAUUUUGUCUGAAAUUAUACGAGGGUCAUGGUGUAUACAAGAGCAUGAACAUGCUAAUCUGACCUAAGAUUGUCCAUUGUAAUUCAGACGGUUGGAGCCCAGUGAGAAGCUUCCAAUGUAUCUCAGAACGGGGUAUUUGUCCAUCUAAAAGCAUAAUUUCUGCCGCUCUCAGUUCAAGUACAAUCAACUUGGUAACCUAGUUUCGUCCUCCACGUUUUGGGAAUAAUUUACUAUUU